GGACACUAGCCAUAACUGCUGGUCUUUCUCAGAAAUGUAAAGGGGCCAUUGUUUUCAUGUGGACACAUGUUCUACCUCUUGGAAUCUGCUUGAGUUCUGUUGGGAAUUGGCUAGUUUAGAGUGUUUAAGGGCAUAUCUUCAAACUUCCAAGAUUCUCUGUAAGCUACCUCCUAAAGUUCCAGAUUGACUAUAGAAUUCUGAUUAAACUUUUUCCUCCCCCACACACCCCCAGCCCUUUACCUUGGAAAUCUCCCAAGCCAGCUGCAAUCCCCUUGGCCAGCAGGCACUCCCUUGGUAACUAUGAAACAGAAUUGUUCUUAGGCUUGGACUACCCUAUAACUAGCCUUUAUUUUUUAGAUCCACCCAGAAGUGAGUCAUUCAUUGGUCUGUGGGCCAGGAUAUUGGCUGCCCCGGAGGGGAUAUUAUGAAUAUUAUGGAUAUAAAUAUUAUGACAUAUUUUACCCUUAUGUUGGGCUGAAAAACCUUGCAUUUUCCUGCUCAAAACUUAUGAUAAGGUAUGACUGGCGUUUUUACAUUAUGUGUCUUAAAGACAAUAUUGAAAAUGUCAUAAAUAAGAAUGAGCAGAUAUAAAAUAUGGCUAGUAAGACAUACUUUAACUUUUUUCUCUGCUAAUUAAUACUACUUGUAAUGAAGAAUACCAUCUUAUUUCUAGAUGUCUAUUUUAUUUUCACAUCUUACCGUACCGUAAAGAUGGUCAGUUGAAUAAAUUUAUCUUUCCAAUUAUAGAUACAUACUGAAUAUUUAGAAAGAUUAAAUAUACCUCAUGAGUAACUAAAGGUGGAUUUUGUGGGAGAUCAUUAUAAUUAUCUGAGACUGACUCUUAGUUUCAGGAUAUAUUUUGUGACAUCAAUAACAGUAGCUUCUAUUGAAUACUGCCUGUACACCAUAGUCU
rnacentral:lncRNA from 1 species